CAUAUCAAUAAGCGGAGGAAAAGAAACUAACAAGGAUUCCCCUAGUAGCGGCGAGCGAAGCGGGAAGAGCUCAAAUUUGUAAUCUGGCACCUUCGGUGUCCGAGUUGUAAUCUCUAGAAGUGUUUUCCGCGUUGGACCGCACACAAGUCUGUUGGAAUACAGCGGCAUAGUGGUGAUACCCCAUUACACGGUGCGGACGCCCAGCGCUUUGUGAUACACUUUCGACGAGUCGAGUUGUUUGGGAAUGCAGCUCAAAUUGGGUGGUAAAUUCCAUCUAAAGCUAAAUAUUGGCGAGAGACCGAUAGCGAACAAGUACCGUGAGGGAAAGAUGAAAAGCACUUUGGAAAGAGAGUUAAAAGUACGUGAAAUUGUUGGAAGGGAAACGCUUGAAGUCAGACUUGCUUGCCGGGCUUGCUCGGUUUGCAGGCCAGCAUCAGUUUUCUGGGACGGAUAAUGGCAGUUAGAAUGUAGCAGUCUCGGCUGUGUUAUAGCUUUCUGCUGGAUACGUCCUGGGGGACUGAGGAACGCAGCGUGCCGUAUGGCGAGGGCUUCGGUCCUUUCACGCUUAGGAUGCUGGUGGAAUGGCUUUAAACGACCCGUCUUGAAACACGGACCAAGGAGUCUAACAUGCUUGCGAGUAUUUGGGUGUCAAACCCGGAUGCGUAAUGAAAGUGAAUGGAGGUGGGAAGCGCAAGCUGCACCAUCGACCGAUCUGGAUUUUCUAAGAUGGAUUUGAGUAAGAGCACGUAUGUUGGGACCCGAAAGAUGGUGAACUAUGCCUGAAUAGGGCGAAGCCAGAGGAAACUACUGGUGGAGGCUACGUAGCGGUUCUGACGUGCAAAUCGAUCGUCAAAUU
rnacentral:rRNA from 1 species